UCGAACGCGUCUCCGUUGAUGAUUUUAGGUGCUUGCACUUGAAAGAUUUAACAUUGAGACGAGUGGCGAACUGGUGAGUAACACGUGGGUAACCUGCCCUUGAAGUAGGGGAUAACACUUGGAAACAGGUGCUAAUACCGUAUAACAACCAAAACCACCUGGUUUUGGUUUAAAAGACGGCUUCGGCUGUCACUUUAGGAUGGACCCGCGGCGCAUUAGCUUGUUGGUAAGGUAACGGCUUACCAAGGCGAUGAUACGUAGCCGACCUGAGAGGGUAAUCGGCCACAUUGGGACUGAGACACGGCCCAAACUCCUACGGGAGGCAGCAGUAGGGAAUCUUCCACAAUGGACGAAAGUCUGAUGGAGCAACGCCGCGUGAGUGAUGAAGGGUUUCGGCUCGUAAAACUCUGUUGUUGGAGAAGAACAGGUGUCAGAGUAACUGUUGACAUCUUGACGGUAUCCAACCAGAAAGCCACGGCUAACUACGUGCCAGCAGCCGCGGUAAUACGUAGGUGGCAAGCGUUGUCCGGAUUUAUUGGGCGUAAAGCGAGCGCACGCGGUUUUUUAGGUCUGAUGUGAAAGCCUUCGGCUUAACCGGAGAAGUGCAUCGGAAACCGGGAGACUUGAGUGCAGAAGAGGACAGUGGAACUCCAUGUGUAGCGGUGAAAUGCGUAGAUAUAUGGAAG
rnacentral:rRNA from 1 species